CAAUAGCGUAUAUUUAAGUUGUUGCAGUUAAAAAGCUCGUAGUUGGAUUUCGGUAAAGAGCGACCGGUCCGCCGUUUGGUGUGCACUGGUUGGUUUUAACUUCCUGUAGAGGACGUGCUCUGGGUUUAACGACCUGGACUCGGAGUCUACGUGGUUACUUUGAAAAAAUUAGAGUGUUCAAAGCGGGCUUACGCUUGAAUAUUUCAGCAUGGAAUAACACUAUAGGACUCCUGUCCUAUUUCGUUGGUCUCGGGACGGGAGUAAUGAUUAAGAGGAACAGUUGGGGGCAUUCGUAUUUCAUUGUCAGAGGUGAAAUUCUUGGAUUUAUGAAAGACGAACUUCUGCGAAAGCAUUUGCCAAGGAUGUUUUCAUUAA
rnacentral:rRNA from 1 species